AUUCUGCCUUUCUACUGGAGGGAAGUGUUUUCACAGGGUCAUGCUGUAUCAGAUUUCAGAAGAAGUGAGCAGAUCAGAAUUGAGGUGUUUUAAGUUUCUUUUGCAAGAGGAAAUCUCCAAAUGCAAACUGGAUGAUGACAUGAACCUGCUGGAUAUUUUCAUAGAGAUGGAGAAGAGGGUCAUCCUGGGAAAAGGAAAGUUGGACAUCCUGAAAAGAGUCUGUGCCCAAA
rnacentral:sRNA from 1 species